UACGUAGGGUGCGAGCGUUGUCCGGAAUUAUUGGGCGUAAAGAGCUCGUAGGCGGUGUGUCACGUCGGCCGUGAAAACCUGCAGCUUAACUGUGGGCGUGCGGUCGAUACGGGCAUCACUGGAGUUCGGCAGGGGAGACUGGAAUUCCUGGUGUAGCGGUGAAAUGCGCAGAUAUCAGGAGGAACACCGGUGGCGAAGGCGGAUCUCUGGGCCGAUACUGACGCUGAGGAGCGAAAGCGUGGGGAGCAAACAGG
rnacentral:rRNA from 1 species